rnacentral:rRNA from 1 species
GGACCCGCACAAGUAGUGGAGCAUGUGGUUUAAUUCGAAGAUACGCGCAGAACCUUACCAACACUUGACAUGUUCGUCGCGACUUUAAGAGAUUAAAGUUUUCGGUUCGGCCGGACGAAACACAGGUGCUGCAUGGCUGUCGUCAGCUCGUGUCGUGAGAUGUUGGGUUAAGUCCCGCAACGAGCGCAACCCUCACUUUUAGUUGCCAUCAUUAAGUUGGGCACUCUGAAAGAACUGCCAGUGAUAAGCUGGAGGAAGGUGGGGAUGACGUCAAGUCCUCAUGGCCCUUACGUGUUGGGCUACACACGUGCUACAAUGGUAUCUACAACAGGAAGCAAGAUCGCGAGGUUUAGCAAAUCCUUAAAAGAUACCUCAGUUCGGAUUGCACUCUGCAACUCGAGUGCAUGAAGCUGGAAUUACUAGUAA